ACUCCUACGGGAGGCAGCAGUGGGGAAUCUUGCGCAAUGGGCGAAAGCCUGACGCAGCGACGCCGCGUGAGUGAUGAAGGCCUUCGGGUUGUAAGGCUCUGUGGAGGGGGACGAAUAAGUGUCGUCGAAUAGACGGCAUGAUGACGGUACCCCUUUAGCAAGCACCGGCUAACUCUGUGCCAGCAGCCGCGGUAAGACAGAGGGUGCAAACGUUGUUCGGAAUUACUGGGCGUAAAGCGCGUGUAGGCUGCUCGGAAAGUCGGAUGUGAAAGCCCUGGGCUCAACCCAGGAAGAGCAUUCGAAACUUCCGAGCUUGAGUUUCGGAGAGGCAGGCGGAAUUCUCGGUGUAGAGGKGAAAUUCGUAGAUAUCGAGAGGAACACCGGUGGCGAAGGCGGCCUGCUGGACGAUGACUGACGCUGAGACGCGAAAGCGUGGGGAGCAAACAGGAUUAGAUACCCUGGUAGUCCACGCCGUAAACGAUGGGUGCUAGGUGUCGCGGGCUUUGACCCCUGCGGUGCCGUAGCUAACGCAUUAAGCACCCCGCCUGGGGAGUACGGCCGCAAGGCUAAAACUCAAAUGAAUUGACGG
rnacentral:rRNA from 1 species